rnacentral:lncRNA from 1 species
CUUGUUCUGUUAUAGACGCACUCGUCCAGCAGCCUCAGACGCGUGCACAACAAAACUCAUAGAAAUUUGCUUCGGUGCGGAGCAGAAGAAUAUACAAUGAAGUUCAAAAACUUAUCCCUGCUCUUGCUGCUGCUCUGCGCCAUGUCAGCAGUAGCUUUUCCUUCAGGAAUCCAGCUGUCGCUCCCGUCACUUACAAACACAGACACCUCAAGUACAAGUAUUUGGAGCGCACUGACAUCUGCGUUGUCUUUUGGAACGUUUGGAACGAGCACAAGCACAAGCACCACCGGAUUGAGCUCCCUGUUUAGCACCUCCAGCAAUCCCUACACCAUCACCCUGGGGUGAAAGUAGAAGUAAUUUGGUAGCUGUAAUUGUUAUGCAUUUUUUGUUGUUACCUCUAGCAAUUUUACCGUUGUGUAAAUCUAGGAAUAUAAUAUAUGACUGUUAUUGUUGUUGUGUUAGAAAAAUGUAUGUUCCUAGAAUAGUUGCUCAAAUUUUAGACUUAAAAAAUUCAGACUGAAUUUCAAACUUAAAAUAAUCGUGCAGUAAAACAUGAAAUAUUUAGCGCGAAAAUAACAAUUAGUUCGAAUUCGAAAUUUUCUCGAUAAUUAUGAUUCGAAGCUUCUGAUUAUAAUUACGUAUCUCUGGAAACAAUGUCACGACGUACGAAUAUGUUGGCGUUUGCAUUAUCCUUAUAGUAUGUCUCCAUAAUUCAAAACAUGUCAUGGAAUAUUUAAUUAAAACUCUUUCAAUCAA